rnacentral:rRNA from 1 species
GAUGAACGCUAGCGGCAGGCUUAACACAUGCAAGUCGAGGGGCAGCGGGGAGGAAGCUUGCUUUCUCCGCCGGCGACCGGCGCACGGGUGAGUAACACGUAUGCAACCUGGCCGUCACAGGUGGAUAACCGGAAGAAAUUCCGACUAAUACAGCAUAACACUCCUGAGGGACAUCCUUCGGGAGUCAAAGGAGGCGACUCCGGUGACGGAUGGGCAUGCGGCGCAUUAGGUAGUUGGUAGGGUAACGGCCUACCAAGCCGACGAUGCGUAGGGGUUCUGAGAGGAAGGUCCCCCACAUUGGAACUGAGACACGGUCCAA